CCCCACCGUGCAUUAUAACAUGGACGGCAUUCCCACCAGCUACGAGGGGCAGGUCCUGAGGCACGGGAAUGGCCAGGAUCAGAUUGUGCCCAGCCUGUACGCCUGUGGGGAGGCCGCCUGUGCCUCUGCACAUGGUGUCAACCGCCUCGGGGCAAACUCGCUGUUGGACCUGGUUGUCUGGUCAGGCAUGUGCCCUGAGCAUCGCAGAGUCGUGCAGGCCUGGAGAUAAAGUCCCUCCAAUUAAACCAAAUGCUGGGGAAGAAUCUGUCACGAAUCUUGACAAAUUGAGAUUUGCUGAUGGAAGAAGCAUAAGAACAUCGGAACUGCGACUCAGCAUGCAGAAGGGCUGCUGGCUCGUGUCACGUUCACCACCAGACCCCACAUCAGGAGUCCCGCCAGGGGUGUGGGGAGGCAGUGCUGCCUGGUUGGCCGUGGAGCCGUAUGGAACGUGGUGCCUCACAGGCAGUCUGCUUGGCGUCCUGGACCCUGGCUGUAUCCCGCUGGAAAGGAUGUUCAACGCAAAAUCAUGCUGCCGUGUUCCGUGUGGGAAGCUUGUUGCAAGAAGGAAUGGUCUGGAACACGGACCUGGUGGAGACCCUGGAGCUGCAGAACCUGAUACCGUCAAUGGAGCAGAGGCGGGGAAGGAGUCACGGGGCGCGCACGCCGGGGAAGACUACAAGUUUCAAGCCUGCCCUGUGGAGGAAAUGCCAGUUUAUUAAAUAACAAGUGCAGAUUGAUGAGUAUGAUCACUCCAAGCCCAUCCAGGGGCAACAGAAGAAGCCCUUUGAGGUGCACUGGAGGAAGCACACCCUGUCCUAUGUGGACGUCGGCACUGGGAAGGUGUCACUGUGGAAUAUAGACCCAUAAUUGACAAAACUUUGAACGAGGCUGACUGUGCCGAGUACAUUGAAGGGGGAUUGGCACCCAGUGGCCGGGGAGCGUGGCACUUACCUUUGUCCCUUGCUUCAUUCUUGUGACAAGAUAAAACUGGGCACAGCUGUUAAAUAAAAUAUUGCACAGCCAGAGGACAACACAUCACACACAAGAAACAGUUGUGCUCAUGUGAUGGGGGCCUCAGCACUAGGAAGGAGUGGACUGUUGUCCGUGGUUCCCUGCAGACUGGCAGGAGCAGAUUCCAAAGGCACAGGAAGAAGCUUGCAGUACAAAGAUAAAAAUCUAAAGUGGUUGCUGUGGAGGACAGGGGUCAGUGGUGGAAGUGAGACCGAAAUAGACUCUGAAGUAAUAUCUGGACUUUGAAAUUGAAAUCAAGAGAGGAGAGAGGAGCCCCCACAAAGGACUGACCCAGGGCAAUAACGGGGAAAGAACUUGGAGGUACAGAGGCAGACCUUGGUGUUUCCCAGGGUGUGGGACGUUGGGGGUAGUAAGGCUGGAGUGGGUAGAGGAAAGGGCUAGGGUGACACCACGGGGUAUUAGGUGGAACUGAGGGAAACAGAAAUAGGAGCAGAGAAAAGGGAAUGAGAACGGGAAAGAGGGAGGUGGGAAAUAGAAGAGGGAGUUUCCAAACAGCAACAACAACAGAAACAAGUGUUUUGGGUUGUGGAGCGUUUGCCCUGCAGAGAGCUGGGUCUGCCCUUGUCCCUUUUGGGGAUUAUGAAUCAGUGCGUGGAGCCGCGCGGCCACAUCCACCAUUCACUUGCACUUGAGUGACAGCCAAGCUACAGUCAUGAAUACGUUUCUUUCUUUUUACAGAAGAACAGUAAAUUGACUUUAUUCCUUAUAAAGGUGAUACUGGAGAAUGUGACAUAGAUUUGCUGGCACAUGGGUUUCCUAUGAGCAAACCCCAGAAUUGGACACACGUAUCUGGUGCUGCAUUGGAAGUUGCCUGUUCACUCUGCCUGGUCAUAUGCAGAAAACCGAAACUAGACCCCUUGCUGACACUUAUACAAAAAUUAACUCAAGAUGCAUUAAAGAUUUAAACGUGAGACCUAAAACCAGAAAAAUCCUAGAAGAAAACCUAGGCAACACCAUUGAGGACGUAAGCAUGGGCAAAGACUUCAUGACUAAAACACCAAAAGAAAUGGCAACAAAAGCCAAAAUUGACAAAAGGUAAGACCAGUGAAUCCGAAGGUGGACCACCAGCUGAGGGACUAGAUUCCAGACUGAAUAGAACAACUUUCCCUGUCUCUCCACAUAAAGUGUGUUUGUUUUUCCUCUUACAGGUUUCCUUAAUGACAACAAAAAAGGGAGUAAUCCUACCCACUGUAAGAGUCAUGACUCUUGAUUGCAGCUGACAGAAACUCAUGACAGCCUGCUUUAGAUGAAGGGGGAGAGAAGGACUGGAAGAAUCUUGGAGUUGGGAAUGUCACACGUAAUUGAAGGAAGAACAAGAAAACUAUAGUAAAGAACCCUGGGGUGGUGAUGUAGUCAUGGGCCAAGUGUCCUGGAACCCUGGGGUGGUGAUGUAGUUGUGGGCCAAGUGUCCUGGAACCCUGGGGUGGUGAUGUAGUCAUGGGCCAAGUGUCCUGGAACCCUGGGGUGGUGAUGUAGUUGUGGGCCAAGUGUCCUGGGUUUUGGGUGGAGAAAGAGUCCCCUAGAUAAGUUAUUAGGUGGGUGCAAAGGUAAUUGCAGUUUUUCCCAUUAUUUUAAUUGCGAAAACAGCAAUUACCUUUGCACCAACCUGAUGGAGUCCCCCUUGCCAUGCUUCUCUCUGUGAAAAACCCCAAGCCGAAGUCAGCAUAACAUCCACAGGACUCUAUGUUUGCAAAAGCCAGCUUAGCUAUAUUACAUGUAUAAGCACAUUUUUUCAAUAAGUCAGCCUUAGCUUACUGUAACUUUUUAACUUUAUAAACUUAGUAUUUUAACUUUUUAAACUUUUUUGUUGAAAACUAAGACACAAAAACACAUGUUAGCCUAGAUCCACACAGGGUCAGGGUCAUCAGUAUCACUGUCUUCCACCUCCACAUUUUGUCUCUCUGGAAGGUCUUCAGGGGCAAUAACACACAUGGAGCUGUCAUCGCCUGUGGUAACAAUGCCUUCUACAGUACUUCCCAAAGGGCCUGCUAGUUCACUUAAUUCUUUUAUAGAGAGAAGGAGUACACUCUAAAACACUGAUCAAUAGUAUAUUAUAGUAAAUACAUAAACCAGGAACACAUUUAUUAUCAUUAUCACGUAUUGUGUAUUGUACAGAAUGGUGUGUGCUGUGCUAUCCAGGAACACAUUUAUUAUCAUUAUCAAGUAUUGUGUACUGUACAGAAUGGUGUGCGCUGUGCUUUUAUGCAAGUGGCAGCACAGUAGCUUUACACGAGCAUCACUAGACACAUGAGUAGCAUUGCACUCGGCAACAGGAAUUUUUUCAGGCCCAUUAUUAUAAUCUUAUGGGACCGCAUCCUAUAUGCAGUUUGUCAUUGACCAAAAUGUCCUUAUGCGAUGCAUGACUAUAUUUGCAAAGGACUAGUAUCUAGAAUACAUUUAAAAGUCUUAAAAUAGUAACAAAACAAAGAAUGCAAUUAGAACAUGAGCAAAAGAUACAAAGCAACAUUUCACUGGAGAAGAUAUACAGAUUGCAAAUAAGCACAUGAAAAGAUGUUUGAUACCAUUAGGGAAACGCUUCUUUAAACCAGGAGAUAUCACCAUUUGGGAGGCUGAGGCAGUGGAUCACCUGAGGUCAGGAGUUUGAGACCAGCCUGGCCAACGUGGUGAAAACUCGUCUCUACUAAAAAUACAGCAAUUAGCUGGGUGUAAUAGUAGCCACCUGUAAUCCCAGCUACUGGGGAGGCUGAAGCAGAAGAACCUCUUGAACCCGGGAGGCAGAGGUUGCAGUGAGCUGAGAUCGUACCACUGCACUCCAGCCUGGGCGAUAGAGUGAGACUCUGUCUCAAAAAAUAAAAUAAAAUAAAUAAAAAGAUUAGAUAAUCUGCAAAGUUCCUGUGAGCGCUGUCAUUUUGUCACUCUGGUUUUUCAGAUUCUUCCCCUGGAGGCUGGAGUUUCCAGGAUGUCAAAAUUACCUCUGCUUGGGUGAGCUAUUUCAAGCAGCUGGGAUACCUGUGUCACUCCUGCUGUCUGCCAGUGACUGCCCAGGUGUCUGCUGGUUCCUCCCCAGGAGUAGGGAGGAACCAGGUGGGCUGGCUGGGAUGGGUGGAUAUUUAAAGACCAGGCCUUGGACGCUGCAGGUCCUCCUCCUCCUGCUGUGGCUGAGCCUUGGGGUGAAGACAGGUGAGGAGCUAGGCUGGCAUCUGUGCUACAGGUCAAAGAGACCCCAAUCUCUGCUCUCUCAUUCAUUCAAUCAAUUAAUCUGUUUUGUCUCUGGCAUGACCCACCUCCUGUGACCCAGCAUUCAUUAAUUCAUUAAUCAAAUAAUUCAUGUAUUCAGACACUUAUUAAGUACCGACUAUAUGGUUGAUGUGGCUUCUUUGUGUAUCCAGUUUUAUAUCUGGAUAAGAUGUCUUUGGAUCAGGAGAAUCACUUGAACCUGGGAGACAGAGGUUGCAGUGACCCGAGAUUGCGCCACUGCGCUCUAGCCUGGGUGACAGAGGGAGACUCCAUCUCAGGAAAAAAAAAAAAAAAAAACCCAAAGCUAUUUAUUGUGGAAAAAUUCAAACACAUGCAAAAGUAAAGAGAAUAGGAUGAUGAACCCAAGGUACCAGUUGGCCACCUUCAAUAUUAUCAACAUUAUGCUCAAGCUCUUAUCCCCCAUAUUUAAAAAAUAUAACCACAAUACCUUAUCAGAGCCAAAACAAAUAUGGUCGCACACCUGUAAUCCCAACACUUUGAGAGACUGAGGCGGGCAGAUCGCCUGAGGCCAGAAGUUCAAGACCAGCCUGGCCAACAUGGUGAAACCCCUGUGUCUACUAAAAAUACAAAAAUUAGCUAGGCAUGGUGGCGGGUACCUGUAAUCCCAGCUACUCGGGAGGCUGAGGCAGGAGAAUCACUUGAACCAGGGAGGUGGAGGUUGCAGUGAGCCGAGAUUGCGCCACUGCACUCCAGCCUGGGCAACAGAGCAAGACUCUGUCUUUAAAAAAAAAAUUAAUUAAUUAAUUAAUUUAAAAAACUACUUACUAUCGUUUAAUACCUAUCAGUGUUCAUAUUUCCCCCACUUGUCAAAAAUAUCUUGUUAUUCAGCAGCAAAGCAGAAGAGAAAAAGAAAAAAUAAGAUCAGAUGUGGUGGCUGAUGCCUGUAGUCCCAGCACUUUGGGAGGCCAAGGUGGGAGGAUCACUGGAGCUCAGGAGUUUGAGACCAGCCUGGGUACAAUAGCGAGACUCAGUCUCUACAAAAAAAAAAUUUGUUUAAAAAUUAGCAAGGUGUGUUGAUGUUCACCUAUAGUCCCAGCUAUUCAGAAGGCUGAAGUGAGAAAAUUGCUUGAGCCCCAGAAGUUGCGGCUGCAGCGAGCUGUGACCAUACCACUGCAUUCCAGUCUGCUGCACCGAGUGAGACCAUGUCUCAAAAAAAAAAAAAAACCAGGCAGCUGCUCCCAACCCCAGAACCUUUGCUGUCUUGGGACGGAUCACCGCUGCAAGAGGGGAAGUUGCUACUGUGAUGAAUUCUGCCAUGUGGCACCAGACUGCCACCCAGACCACAGUGUCCUCUGCAACCCUGGUAACUCACAUACAGGCCCGAUUCCACCUACAGCAAAGCUGGAUGCGAUGGCUGGCAGAGGCAAACCCUUUGCCUGCACUUCAGGCCAAAGCCGGGAUGUGGCCUAGAUGGUUCCUAAGGUCCCUGACAAUCCUGAGAUCUUGCAUCUUGUCUAUUUCAGGUCAAAGGUGCCUACAUGCUCCUUCUAGCUUUGUUUCCCUGAUGUUCCUUGCCACCUGCUACUCCUCUCUGAGCUACUUUUCCAGGUUCCACAGGGAGAGGUUCAGCUGUCCGUGGUAGACAUGAGGGUAGAGAAUGAGGUGGUUGGGUUCCACUUACCUUUCUAUCAUCUUGCAGUAUGGAUGUCUCUUGACUGGUACCGUGUAGACUUUUGAGGGCACACAGGAGUCUGCAGAGAGAUACUGGGGACAUUGAGCAGCAGCAGUGGGGUUGGGAGGCAGAAAUGAGGACAGGAACAUUUACCUUGUGUUUCUCUCAGCUUCUCAGAUGACCAAGAUGGUGCUGCAGAUGGUGCUGAGGAUGGAGAACCCACCAAGCCCCGCUAGGAGCCACCUAGACUGGAUGCAGAGCAUGGUGAAAGCCACUUUCUCAGCCUUUCUGAGACUCUGUAUCCUCAUGUGUAUCCUAGAGUUUGUCUGAUAGGGCUAUAGUGAGAAUUAAUUGAAUUAAGUAUAGUGAGAAUUAAGCCAGGUCUGGAGAGGCCUGGCUACUGGUGAGUGAGGUAACUGAGAUCAGGUAUGGAGAGGACUGGCUCCUGGUGAGUGAGUUAAUUGAGAUGAGGUAUGGAGGGACCUGUCUCCUGGUGACUGAGUUAAUUGAGAUGAGGUGUGGAGGGACCUGGCUCCUGGUGAGUGAGUUAAUUGAGAUCCAUUAUGAAUUGAGAUCAGGUAUGGAGGGACUUGGCUCCUGGUGAGUGAGUUAAUUGAGACUGUUCAGUGAGUUCUCCAAACCAGCCUCCCAGGAAUGCCAUUCAACAUGGCUGUGAGGAGAAUAAAGAAGAGAGCCUGACUCCUCUCCUGAGGCCCCUUCCCCACCCUGAGCCAGCAGGAUCCACGGAGCAGAGGUCAUCUGUCCCCAGCUUGGCCCACUGAGGCCAGCAUGGCUGGGCCCAGGAUGCUUGUCUCUCAGCUCCCAUCCUGUGUACUUCCACAUUGGUUUAACCAGAGGAAAACCGAAAUCUACAAUUGUCAUAAACACAUUUAAAUGUGCGUAGAAUCAGCCAUACAAAUUGUGAAACAUACAUUUGGCUCAUGGUAUUAUUCACUGUUUUGUGGUGGUUACAGUGACUAUAGCACUCCUCCCUGACCUGUCCUCCUGCCCUAACUCCUCCCUGACCAGUCCUCCUGCCCUAACUCCUCCCUGACCGGUCCUCCAGCCCUAACUCCUCCCUGACCAGUCCUCCUGCCCUAAGCCUCCUGCCCUAACUCCUCCCUGACCAGUCCUCCUGCCCUAAGUGUCUCCUCCCUGACCGGUCCUCCUGCCCUAACUCCUCCCUGACCGGUCCUCCUGCCCUAACUCCUCCCUGACCAGUCCUCCUGCCCUAAGUCUCCUCCCUGACCGGUCCUCCUGCCCUAACUCCUCCCUGACCGGUCCUCCUGCCCUAACUCCUCUCCUCCCUGACCAGUCCUCCUGCCCUAAGUCUCCUCCCUGACCGGUCCUCCUGCCCUAAGUCUCCUCCCUGACCGGUCCUCCUCCUCCCUGACCGGUCCUCCUGCCCUAAGUCUCCUCCCUGACUGGUCCUCCUGCCCUAAGUCUCCUCCCUGACUGGUCCUCCUGCCCUAACUCCUCCCUGACUGGCCUCCAUCCAAGCAGAGCUUGAGUAUUGCUGGUUCCCUGCUCAAACCCACCACUGGUUGCUGGUUCCCUGCUCAAACCCACCACUGGCACUGGCUUCCCAUCACAUACAGAAUAAAGGCUAAAUGUCUGUGCUUGGCACAGAAAGUCAUCAACAGGCCCCAGAGCACGUUUCUGGUGUUAUCUUCUGCUAAUGCCCUGCCCUCACUCCUAUGCUGCAGCUGAAUGGAACGAGCCAUUAUCCCCUCAGGAACGCUGGCUUCUCAGUAAACGAUUAUAGCCCAGAAGCUCUGUCAUCACAGAACCUAGCUAUUGGCUAAUGGGUCAGCUUUGGCUUCAUUUCUCUGAAUAAUUUAUUUCAAAACAUAAUCCCAAGGAACAAGGUUAGGAAAAGGGGAGGGUGACAGGGACAGAGGGAGAGCCUAUGCAAAGACGUGUUAUCCAGUUGGCCCCUGCUGUGGCUGGCUGGUUGCUCAAUCCUGUAAGAUCUUCUAAGAAGCUUUAUGAGAUGUAGUGAGAACCACCUGUCCUGGGGAUGAGUCUGUCUGUCGGCUUCCAUUCCUCAUGGGUUAUGAGUUGCUCCACAGGAUUCUGGAUGUAUACAGAUGCUCUUCAUCUUAGGAAGGGGUUACGUCCCAAUAAACACGUGGUAAGUCAAAAAUACUGUAAGUCAGAAACACAUUUAAUACCCUGAUAAGCCCAUCAUAAAGUCAAACAAUUUUAAAUCCAAUCAUUGUAAGCCAGGACCAUCUGUAUACCCAAGACAUACACAAGGAUGUUCAUAGCAGCUUUAUUCAAAAUAGUGAAAAACAAAACAAUCCAAAUGCACAGCAAUAGGAAAACAGACAAAUAAAUUGUGGUAUAUUUAUA
rnacentral:lncRNA from 1 species